AGUUCGGAUUGGAGUCUGNAACCCGACUCCAUGAAGCUGGAUUCGCUAGUAAUCGCGCAUCAGCCACGGCGCGGUGAAUACGUUCCCGGGCCUUGUACACACCGCCCGUCAAGCCAUGGAAGCCGGGGGUGCCUGAAGUGCGCUGCCGCAAGGAGCGCCCUAGGGUAAAACCGGUGACUAGGGCUAAGUCGUAACAAGGUAUC
rnacentral:rRNA from 1 species